ACUGGAAAUGUGGUCAGGAACGUCGGAGAGGCACCCAAAACGUCCACUGAGUGAGAAUCGAGCCACCGGAAGGCAGUAAAACUUCAGGUUAAACCACCAGAAACCCUAGAAGCCGAUAGGUCACCCAAAAUCAACUAAAAAUCAUCAUAGAAUCUUCCAGAAUGUUCAGGAGAAGAAAAUACACUCCGAUAUCAUGAUGAAAGACUCAGAAAAGUCUCCGAUAGGUUGAAAUCUUCAUCGACCGUGAGGUCUCAGAAA
rnacentral:lncRNA from 1 species